CCCGGGGUUCGUUUUCCUCAGGGACGGGUGUGGGGGAAGGGGGGCGGCCGGUCCGGUCCCUACCUGCCACCGCGACGCGCUGGCUCCUGCCGGGGAGCGCCUCUUCCUUCCGCGGCAGCCUGGAGGCCGAUUCGCCCAUCCUGAAGGUGGAGCUGCAGAGCCGGAGGAGGCGCCGUGGCGCUGUUAGCAUCGCCCUCUGAGGGCGGGGAAGGGAGGCGAAGGGAAAGUGUGAACUAUCCCCUUUUCUCAUUCUAGAGGCUGAGAUGGAAGAGUCUAAACAUGACACCGUAGAUUUUUAAAGUUUUCAUACCAAGAAUUUGCCUGUCUGAGCAAGCAGCAGAACCCAAUUAUCUUUGUAUUGAUAAUAUACUGCGCUUCAUGCUGAAAUGUGGACUUCGUAUCUGGCAACACAUGAAUUAAGAAGUAUAUCAGAAAAAAAAUCCCACUGAAGUGCCUGCCUGUUGCUUGGAUUCCCGUUUAAUAAUCACGGUAUUCCUAGUGCAACCAUUUUACAGUGUGUGCUGAAGACCUUCAGGAAAUCAGUGUGAAGAAGAAAGGUGCAAAGGAGAAAACAGGAGGAAAGGGAAUAUGAACUUACUGUGUCCUUCUAGGCAGAGCUAUGCACAGAUUCCCAGUCAUUCCAUUUUUUAGGAAUGGGUCAAAAUACAGUUGACAUUUACUGUAUAUGAUCCUUGCUGUUGGAGCAGGAUUUGCUCACCUUUUUGGAUAAUUGUUGUUCCAUUGUAGCAAAAUUUGCUGUGUUUUGCAACCAGUGGAGCCCCUGUGACUAUCUUCCCCUACCCCUCCACCCCCCUACUGACUAUCCUAUGGUAGUAAUGCUGUACAGCCAGGUUUCUGUUGCAGUGUGUAUCUUCUGGAAGAGCACUGUUUCGGUUUUUGUUUUUUGAUUUUAUAACGUGUAGCAAUAGAGGAUCCCUGAGCUUUGGUGGUUUAUUCAGUGCUUACUUGCUGUUAGAAACACACACUUUAUUUUUCGUUCGGCUUCCAUGGAAUCAUAGCUUAUCUUUCCUUGCAUGAAGAGAUUUCUUGUUUUCUAAUUCUGCAAGUAUUGUCAUUGCCCUUCUUUGAACCCUCUCCAGGUUUUUAGUUGACAUAUUUCCUUAUUUAAUAAUUUAUUUCGUUACCCAAUCUGAUGGAGAUAUGAAUAAUUAGUGCAGUGUUCUGGUACUGGUCACAACAAAGCAAGUACAGAUCUUAUAUGGUUUCCUGAUUUCUGCAAGGUUUUGUGUUCAUACAUCCAAGGGCAGUCAGUGAUAACCUUGCAGCCCUGCAAGGCUACUGGCCAAGGUCUCUUCAGGAAUUUAUUACCAAUGUAUAGAAAUACAUGGAUUAUGGCAAAUAUAUAGGAAACUAUGUUCUAUGUCUUUCCUUGGCCUCCUUUAAAUUAAUAGGAUGGUCUUGUACCAAUUUCUAAUAGUCUUUGUUACUACCACUUGUGCAGUUUUUGGGUCAACUGCUAGCAGUUGGAAAUUACUGUCUAUAUUCCUCUCUAUAGUUGUUAGAAAUGUCAAAUAAUGGAGCUCAGAACUGAAGCCUAUGUGACACUGCUGUAAACAUGCCAACCCUGUGAAGGUUGCCUCACUGCGGUCACAUUUUGUGGCUAGUUAGGUAAUGAGAUCUCUGAAAAUGAACAUAUUUUCAUCAGGACAAACCUGCUGCUUCCCCACUUUUAGCAAAGAGACAUGAACUGCUUCUCAGGAGAUUUUUCAAUCAAGGGAGCUGGAGAUUUUAAGUACCACAAUUCUUUUUGGAAGCAACAGACAUGAAUUCCUGUAUCAACAGCUGUAUCUGUUACCCAGAUGGACAGUGAAGAUGAUAAUACAGUAAAGCAAUCUGCAUGGAACACUUUCUAGAGAGAGGAGGGAAGAUUAAUCAGUCAUUCACGUGCCUUCCAUUUGUGAUCUAGAUGAGAGUUUGGAUACAGAUUAAGCUACAUAAUUUACACUAAAAAUGGAACUGACGUGGAAGAGCCAUCAGCAUUGUACCUCAGAGUAGUGCAGUGAUUUGGGAUUUACAGAAGAGCAUAAAAAACAAGGGACAAUUCAAUAGAGUACUGUGCAUGCCAGGGAGAAGGCAAAAAUGCAGGAUACCAGCAGUGUGCUUACACAGGUUGUUCUUUGUUUUUUCCAUUUCAACAUGGCGUUUAUGUAAAAAAGCUAAUGAAGCAAGUAUGCUAUCUGCAAGUUUUCCUUCCUAUCAGAGCACAUAAGCAUUGGUUCCCUCUCUGUGAAGGUUCAGGAUGCAUCUUUACAGCUGAUCCCAAUAUGUUCAAACAAGCCAGGGUGAUGCAGACGAGCAUUUUGGGGUCUGUCCAUCAAUGUUUCUACGUGAAUCAGCCUUAGAGCUCUCCCAAUAACCAGGAGUUAGCAGCUGGCCAGUUUACAGAUGUCUUCUUGGGUGGUGUGGCUUCUCUCAGCUCUUUAAAUGUGCUGGGCUUAAAAGCAGUUACCAGCAGCUGAGGCUCAGCCCUGGGGUUUUUUUAAUCAUAAUUUCCAGCUGUGGUACAAAGUACUCUGUAGGUCAAUUCCAGUUUCUAGUCUGAGAGGACAAAUUACUCAGUACGUUCAGUGGCCUGUGCUGCACCAUCAGUUUAGAUUUCAAUAUGGAUUUCACCAGAAACCAUCAUGAUAAUGGCCCUUCCCUUGGUGAAAUUAUAUUGUUGAUGCAUUUUUCAAUGAAUAUCCUCUGCAUCUUUCACCUUGGAGUUUCUGUGUUUCUGUCCCCUUCAAUGCUGGUUAUGCAGAAUGCUCUUCAUGGAUAGAAAUAAAGUGGGGCAGAUGAGAACAGGAAAAAAAAAGCUUUGGGUGUAUCUGAUAUCACCCAACCUCAGAUCUGGCAUCUCAUCCAAACUGAGCUUCUAAGCAUCACCCAUACCAAAAGAAGAUCAAUCUCCAGAACAUAAUUCAUCCCUUCUUAAAAUAGCAUAGGAAAGCAGAUAGGCUGGACUCAAGUUUAUUUCUUCUAGUUCACAGCAGAAGGUGUUCUUCUGAAUAGCUUGAAACAGAUAUCUUCUGAUAACCAGAAUUAGAUAUGGUAUGGUUUUUUUCCCUCUAUCUACCUAGAAAAAAUUGCAGAAUUUUGCAGUAAAAUGUUUUCUUAUUUUAUGCAUUGACUUAAGUUCUUCCAAGACAUAGAAAAGUCUUAAGUCCGCUCACAUAAAUCCGUACAAGUGCCUAAAGUGUAUUGAGGUCUUCUGUUUGUUUAAAGUAGCCAUAGUGAAGAAGCCACAGAGUGCUAACUUGCAGCCUGUCCCUCUACUUCAGAGUAACCUUGCACGAGGGCAGCUGCUGUGUUACAGCUGCCGUGUGAUCUGCCUUGCAAAUACGGACAAAUGGUGUAUAACUGGAUUUCCUUCAUAAUCUGCCAUAACAAGGAAGACCCACUUAAAUUCCGCAGAUAGCAUCGCAUAUCUCUGAAAUCUGUAAAAACAUCACUUCUCUAACCAAUAAAGCAAGGGCGUUUUUUCCUAUCAGGAUGCCUUGUAAUAGAUUAGAUAGCAGAAAAUGUACUACUGGCGUGUGUUUUUGGCAGCCUGCUUUGCUUAUAUGCAUGGAAAAACACUUAAUCUAAAUAUCGUGGCUCUCUUCGUGGUUGUUUUCAUCUGAAGUUAAAGCUAUGCAAUUAAAAAUAAUAAUAAUAAUAGUAAAGCUAAUGGAAUCGAUUAAGUUUUUUAGGUGGAAAAUUCUGCCAGUGGAAGGUUGGAGCUGAUACAUCGAUACCACAUUCAGAAGAUGCCAUCCCUCGGAAAUGCUCGGAGACCUCUGCAACGUCAACACGGGCUGAUGAUGUUCUCUCAAUGCUUUGCACAGUGUCUUGUCGAUUCCUUGGCUUUGUCAGCUGUUGCUGGAUUGUAUGCAGUGGCACUGAUGACUUUAGAAAAACAAAUGACAGAAUUGUUUACACGGCCUUGCUAAAGGAAAUAAUCACAUUUAGUAGUGCUGGUUUCCCAUACAGGGCUUUAAAAAGGGGCUCUCGUGCUAUAUGCUGUAAUAAGCUUUUUAUAAAUGCGUUCAUGUGGUGCUCAGUACAGCCUGCUGUGCCGAUGCUAUAAAACCAAAGGGGAGCUUCAUAAGCUUUAAGUGCAAUCAUAUAUUACUGUGCAGCAGCAUUCCCUCUUAUUAAUAAAGUUUGUAAGAAAUACCCAGGCAAAGAUUAAAAAUACAUGUAUGACACUAUCCACGGUAAUAAAAGCUGAUGUUGUCGGGA